rnacentral:rRNA from 1 species
UACAGAGGUCCCAAGCGUUGUUCGGAUUCACUGGGCGUAAAGGGUGCGUAGGCGGUCGGGUAAGUCUGAUGUGAAAUCUCCAAGCUCAACUUGGAAAUGGCAUCGGAUACUAUUCGGCUAGAGGAAUGGAGGGGAGACUGGAAUACUUGGUGUAGCAGUGAAAUGCGUAGAUAUCAAGUGGAACACCAGUGGCGAAGGCGAGUCUCUGGACAUUUCCUGACGCUGAGGCACGAAAGCCAGGGGAGCAAACAGG